rnacentral:rRNA from 1 species
GCAGCAGUGGGGAAUAUUGCACAAUGGGCGCAAGCCUGAUGCAGCAACGCCGCGUGAGGGACGACGGCCUUCGGGUUGUAAACCUCUUUUAGCAGGGAAGAAGCGAAAGUGACGGUACCUGCAGAAAAAGCGCCGGCUAACUACGUGCCAGCAGCCGCGGUAAUACGUAGGGCGCAAGCGUUAUCCGGAAUUAUUGGGCGUAAAGAGCUCGUAGGCGGUUUGUCGCGUCUGCUGUGAAAUCCCGAGGCUCAACCUCGGGUCUGCAGUGGGUACGGGCAGACUAGAGUGCGGUAGGGGAGAUUGGAAUUCCUGGUGUAGCGGUGGAAUGCGCAGAUAUCAGGAGGAACACCGAUGGCGAAGGCAGAUCUCUGGGCCGUAACUGACGCUGAGGAGCGAAAGGGUGGGGAGCAAACAGGCUUAGAUACCCUGGUAGUCCACCCCGUAAACGUUGGGAACUAGUUGUGGGGUCCAUUCCACGGAUUCCGUGACGCAGCUAACGCAUUAAGUUCCCCGCCUGGGGAGUACGGCCGCAAGGCUAAAACUCAAAGGAAUUGACGGGGACCCGCACAAGCGGCGGAGCAUGCGGAUUAAUUCGAUGCAACGCGAAGAACCUUACCAAGGCUUGACAUAUACGAGAACGGGCCAGAAAUGGUCAACUCUUUGGACACUCGUAAACAGGUGGUGCAUGGUUGUCGUCAGCUCGUGUCGUGAGAUGUUGGGUUAAGUCCCGCAACGAGCGCAACCCUCGUUCUAUGUUGCCAGCACGUAAUGGUGGGAACUCAUGGGAUACUGCCGGGGUCAACUCGGAGGAAGGUGGGGAUGACGUCAAAUCAUCAUGCCCCUUAUGUCUUGGGCUUCACGCAUGCUACAAUGGCCGGUACAAAGGGCUGCAAUACCGUAAGGUGGAGCGAAUCCCAAAAAGCCGGUCCCAGUUCGGAUUGAGGUCUGCAACUCGACCUCAUGAAGUCGGAGUCGCUAGUAAUCGCAGAUCAGCAACGCUGCGGUGAAUACGUUCCCGGGUCUUGUACACACCGCCCGUCAAGUCAUGAAAGUCGGUAACACCUGAAGCCGGUGGCCCAACCC